AAGUCGUAACAAGGUCUCCGUAGGUGAACCUGCGGAGGGAUCAUUCACAUGAUAUACUUUAAACAAACUGUGAACUUUAAAUACUAUUCGUGUGUGUUGUUGACUUUAUGUUAAUUUCAUACAUUGUCAUUCGAUUGAACAUAAGAUAGUUGGCUUGAAAUUGUAAUUCAUUACAUUUUCUUUCUCAGCUUUGAUUUGAUAUUACUAAACAUUUUAUCACUUCAACCAUAAAACAUAGAAACAACUCUAUGCCCUGGAUAUCUUGGUUCUC
rnacentral:misc_RNA from 1 species